rnacentral:rRNA from 1 species
CAAUAGCGUAUAUUAAAGUUGUUGCAGUUAAAAAGCUCGUAGUUGGAUUUGUGGCGUACGGUGUGUUCCGGGCACUUGUUGUCUGAGUAACCUGCUGUUGCCAUCCUUGGGUGGAACCUGUGUGGCAUUAGGUUGUCGUGCAGGGGAUGCCCAUCAUUUACUGUGAAAAAAUUAGAGUGUUCAAAGCAGGCUUAUGCCGUUGAAUAUAUUAGCAUGGAAUAAUGAGAUAGGACUGUUUUGCUAUUUUGUUGGUUUGCGCAAAGAGGUAAUGAUUAAUAGGGACAGUUGGGGGUAUUCGUAUUCCAUUGUCAGAGGUGAAAUUCUUGGAUUUUUGGAAGACGAACUACUGCGAAAGCAUUUACCAAGGAUGUUUUCAUUAA